ensembl:misc_RNA Metazoa_SRP Metazoan signal recognition particle RNA
GCCAGGCGUGGCGGCGCACACCUGUAAUCCCAGCUACUCAGGAGGCUGAGGCAGGAGAAUCACUUGAACCCAGGAGGCAGAGGUUGCAGUGAGCCAAAAUCGGGCCAUUGCACCCCAGCCUGGGCAACAGAGUAAGACCCUGUCUCAA